rnacentral:lncRNA from 1 species
UUGGCCGCCAACUCCGGCGACGAUUACGGCCACCAAUGCGAGAAGAAGCAUACUCUUGCGCUCCAUUUCGUUAGAUAGAUUGAGAGAGAGGAUUGAGUUUGCAGUGGAAAAUGUGCAGGGGGGAGGGGAGUGAAGGAGGAAGGUGAGAUUUGAGAGGCGGAGAUUAAUGGCGGAGGGACAGAGUAAUUUAUAGUGGAGGGAGAUGAUAG